UUCAAUUCUCACCAUAAUUUAUUACAGAACAUAGAGAUGACUCGAAGGAACUGGACUUUUCCUGCAUUUUACUUGGACAAUAAUAUUUCUUAAUUUCUUGAGAUGGAAAAUUGACAACAGUCUAUCUUCAGUAAUUUUAUUAAAAAAAAAACCGCAUAAAAAAAAAACAAUCUUUUUCAUAAGGUUAGAACAUGCUGGCACAACGGGACUGGAUAAGGGGGGCGCGGCGCCAACUGCAUUGCUGACAGGCAUGCAUUGACCGGUGAUUGGUGCUUUAAGAGAUCAACCUGACCUGACAUGCAUUUCAAUCAUGGCUUAAACUACCAAACACAGCUCUUCGCAUCAAACUCAAAAAGCUGCCCUUCGCAUCAAAAUCAAAAAGCGACACAACAAAUCAGUUUUAUGAGCUGCUUCAAAUCCUUCAAAGCAAGUACAUGUCUCCUGCACAGAAAAACCAAAAGGCUGCCUGGAUCCAAAGUAAACCUCCAGAAAACGGUUUUGUAACCCACCAUGCAAUUGCGGAAAUCGAAGUGGCAAAUGGAUUGGUUAAAAACAGAAAACAUAAACCAAAGUAUUCAUUUAAAACCAACAGAACGGAAAUUCUGCUGUUGAUCUCGAGCAAGCCAACUAUGUGAUCACCACGGCACCAUAAUCACCUCAUGUAUCUGUGAACCUUAUCCAAGAA